ensembl:lincRNA
AAUAAAGGCUGCGAAGAGUAAAGUGCCCUUCCCAAGGUCACACAGAAUGGACAGAAAUCAGAACUCAACCUUUUGGCACCAAGACCAGGGCCGUGUCCACUUUAUCAUCCUGUAUCUCCGUAUGCCUGUUCUUUUCUUUAGUUCCAAGAAUAAAAUUGAUAUCCAAGGAGAGUUCACCCUUGAUUCAGAUUUGCCUGCAUACUAAAUGCCACAGCCAUGAUUUCCAGUCACUGCAGCAGGAGGCCAUCCAGAAGGGCGAUGUAAUUCCCAUUACAGUUGAUGGAAACAGCAGAUUGAAAAAAAGAAGCACAAUGACAAAAAAAGAUUCCAGGGGCUGGAAGUCUGAAAACUACAUUUCUAAGACAUCUACUGGCAAGAGAUGAAAAUGUGAAAGACAGAGAGAAGUCACUGUGAGAUUCUGCUGUCCCAGUUAACAGGAGCAGGAAGCUCAUGGACUCUUGACUCUUGAAGCCAGCAAUGGCAAUGGCAGCAAAGGCCACCACAGACAACUGUGAGCUGCUGCAGCUGUCAUGAGGCAACAGGGGCAGGAACUGGAAGAGAACACCAAGACUGUCUCUCAAGUUAGCAGUGGGCACCCUACGACCUCCACGGUGGAUUACCCGUCAUGCCUACUUGACCCACUUGGAUUUGUUGUCUUGUGGAGUCUCACAUUUGCUGUUAACUUUUCAAUUAUUAGCCUUGCCUCUCCAAAACUUUCAAAAUCUCCC